UAGAGUCUGAUCCUGGCUCAGAUUGAACGCUGGCGGCAUGCCUUACACAUGCAAGUCGAACGGCAGCACGGGGGCAACCCUGGUGGCGAGUGGCGAACGGGUGAGUAAUGCAUCGGAACGUGCCCAGUUGUGGGGGAUAGCCCGGCGAAAGCCGGAUUAAUACCGCAUACGACCUAAGGGUGAAAGCGGGGGACCGCAAGGCCUCGCGCAAUUGGAGCGGCCGAUGUCGGAUUAGCUAGUUGGUGGGGUAAAGGCUUACCAAGGCGACGAUCCGUAGCUGGUCUGAGAGGACGACCAGCCACACUGGGACUGAGACACGGCCCAGACUCCUACGGGAGGCAGCAGUGGGG
rnacentral:rRNA from 1 species